CCUUACGCUCGUCGUUCACCUACGCCCUUUCUAAUUCCCCAACUUCUCUCUCUCUCGCUCUCUCUCUCUCAAUCUCUCUUCUGAAGGCUGAAGCAGAGGCAGGUCGGGGCAAAAUGGGGUCUACAAAGAGGACGGCGUGCAAGAGGAGGGCGAGAUGGACGCUGAUAUGGUCGGAGCUGCAGACGACGAGACUUCAUUUUCCAAGGAAUUGGGUCAGAUGAAGAGAAGGCUUAAGGAAAUGGAGGACGUGGCCGGUGCUCUCCGCGAAAUGCUGGCCAAGAUAGAGAAGAAGAUGGGCACAGGGCAAGGCGUGAGCAAAUGUGUUGUUUUUCUGCUUAUUCUUAGAGGUCCUUGUUCAGUUGGUUUAUUUUUGCUUAUUCUCAGAAGUCAUUUUUAGGUCAGUUAGUAAGUUGCAAUGGGCAAGACGCUGCUGGAUAUUAUUCGAGCUCGAGCUCUUUGAGUCGAGUCGAGCUCGAGCUGGGCAAGCUCGGGCUCGACUCGGCUCGUGUGCAGCCCUAGCUGCCCCCUCCAUUCCCACUUGAGUUGUUUCAAACGCAACCCCCGAUUUACAAGAAAAUGUCAUUUCCAUCCCAAAUUAAUUGUCAAUAUCUAAUUGAUUCA